UGUACGACGCUGCAGAGAAACGAAGACCGAGCUAAGCUCGACGCCUGACGAAGCACUGAGCAGGACCUGGGACGGCGUUCAUCUGCGCGUGCACAAGGGGCACGGGGCGAGCUGCAGCAGGGAGGGCGCGGCCAUGGUAGAGAGCUUAAGGUGACGCUCUGCUCGGUGACAUCGGCAAGCUGGAGCGAGAUCCGAGCUAGGCCGGGCGUGACCUGAGCUGGAGCAGCGAAGAAGGUGGUCAUGGAUGGAGCUCGAAGCGAGCUCACCAGCGUUGAGGUCGCGACCUGGGCGAGCAUAGACACCGCGGCGAAGCCGGAGCUGGGGCUAGAGUUGGAGGAGAAGCCAACGGCAGGGUACUGGAGCAUGGUGGGAGCGCGCAAAUUUCCUAACCGAGAGGAUGCAACGGCAAGCGAGCAGCUACAAGUGACGGGCGGCCGACCGGCGAGCUGGACCAGAGCACGCGCAUGGCAAGGAAACAAAAUAUCAGAGAGGGAGAGCCGUGACAGAUAAGGCUGGGGCGGCGGCUGCAGAAAAAAA
rnacentral:lncRNA from 7 species